rnacentral:lncRNA from 1 species
CUCUGCUGUAACGUGACACUUUCUAAGGCUCCCAUAGGCUCUCAGAAGGCGCCAGAAUGUUGAAUGAUGACUCUGCAGUCUCUGGCUGAAAAACAGUAGCGCAUUUGGAUAGUGGUCGAUCUGAGAACAAUGACACGGGCGCACACGUGCACGUGAAGAGUCCAUUUUGCAUUUUCAGUCUUUGAAUGAAAACAACGACUCCCGGUCGGAAUAUUAUCGCUAUUUUACGAGAAAAAUCGCAUAAAAAUUGAUUUUAAACAGCGUUUGACAUGCUUCGAACUACGGUAAUGGAAUAUUUUGAAUUUUUUUGUCACGAUACGCGUCCGCGCGUCACCCUUCGUUACCCUUCGGAUAGUGUCUUGAACGCACAAACAAAACGCCGCUAUUUGGAUAUAACUAUGGAUUAUUUGGAACCAAACCAACAUUUGUUGUUGAAGUAAAAGUCCUGGGAGUGCAUUCUGACGAAGAAUAGCAAAGGUCCCAAGUACUGAUGAGGCCGGAUGGAUAGGGGCCAGAUGCGUGAUGAGCCGGACCGAUGGGGGCCUCUCAUGUGAUGAGCCGGACCGAUGGGGGCCUCUCGUGUGAUGAGCCGGACCGAUGGGGGCCUCUUGCGUGUCAUAAAGUGACAGCAGCACAUGACCUUUACGAGUUUGGGCCACAAUUUGCAGAAGAUUAGUCGACCCGAAAAUAUCCACAAAAGAUGCAAUCGCCAUUACUCUGCACACUGCCCUAUCCCAUC